AGCAACGGGAACAAAAAUGGAGAAGAAAAGACAAAAAGAAAAAUUUAAUUAAAAUUGGACAUUUAGGAUAGUGACAUUGAUUAAAAAGGAUUCCCUUAAUCGUAAAAGAGAUGGUUAAUGGUGGAUAAAUAACUUCUGGUUAAUGAACAAUUAAUAGCAACAUUAACUCAAUUUAAUAAAAAAAAAUACUUCAAUAGAUAACUCAAAAAAGUGGUUACCAAAAUGGCUACCCCUUAACUCAUUUCUUAUUUCUUUCCCUCUUUUUUUCAACUCUCUCGUCACUCUAGCUCCAUGUGGUUUUCAUUUUAGCUUAAGCUUGUUUGUUUUAUAAAUUGAGAACAUUGACUUGUUAUUUCGGUUCAGUUAAUUUAUGUCCAUUGCUAGUUUCAAAUUGUUUCCUCAUUAUUAUCAUUGGUAAUUGAAUUAUUUUCAUUCCCUUAAAUGUGUAUCUACUAGUUUAUGGAAUGGAGAGAGCGACUAAAAGAAUCUGGAUUUCAUGUUUUCCAAUCAGGUAACCGUCAACUGAUAAUACCAAAUGAUGAUAUAACUUGGACCGUAAAUCAUCACCUAACAACUUGUUGUAACAACUAUGCUAACCUGUAUGAGCCAAUCCAUAUCAAAAGAUAAAUCUACUUCACUUUUACAUAUUCAUGGAGAUGUGUUUAAGUAACUAGCAAAUUCUACUUUAAAGUAAAUUACUCAAGAAAUGGUGAAACAAGAGAAACCAAUUAAACUAAAAUGGAGACCAGAUUUUGUCAAUGUAAUCUGAGUAAAAUUAACCAAUGGUGAAAAUAUUUGUUGGAAUGAAGUUUACAAAUGUAUUCGAAAGAUUUGCAAAGAAACAUUACAUCUUGGCUUCACAUGGUGAUGAUAAUAAGAAAGUAAACGUAAAGUCAUUAACUGUUUGAAUUGGCUGAAUAGUUAAUGUAUGGAAUAGCUGAAUGUGCCCGUAAUCAGCUUUCAUUAACAAUUGAAUUUCACUUUUUUGAUUACCAACUUGACUCGUGUAAAUACCUUAAUGUUGCACAAAUUGACUUGGUAAAUGAUGACUUUUCAAGAAUCUUACCUUGAUUGCUGAUUCAACUGGAAGUAAAUUUUGAUAAUUUCGUAUUAGAAGUGGCUCCUGUCCAUCAGGCAAAAA